rnacentral:lncRNA from 1 species
GCCAGGCCCAUAGGUAAUUACAACCAGUAAGAGAGGGAGAUGCUGGUGGCCUCAGACAUUCUCUGAUCCUGGGUGGACUUAGGGGACGUCAGGGUAGAGGGAGCUUCUUAGAGACCAGAUAUGAAGGUGGUCUGUGUGUAUGCAUGCACGCAUGUGUGUGUAUAUAUCCCAGAGAAGUUUAAUUUGUUUAGAGAUACGCUGUGUGGUCAGAGUGGCAGCCAGACGGUGGGGGAUAGGCUUUUUAUUAUGUAAGACUCUGAGAAAACAAUUAAUCUGGACCUCAUUUGCACUUCCUUUGAAAUGUGUGACCCUCAGAAACAACACAGGCUCUUUUCCUGACCCCAGUGUUAUGCCAGCAUCCUCAAAGAUGUGCUCUCUGAUCUCAGCUCUGUGAGAUGAGAUCAGAUCAUGGACGACUACCCUCCCUGCCUAGGGCUCCUUUAUCCUGCUUUCUUCUCCAUAGAUGUUCCCUUUUGAUGCUACCAGGUGGACAUUCUACAUGUUACCAAGCUUUUACUGAUUAAAGCAUUGCUGCAAUGCAAAUCCUUGUACAGAGUCAUUGUAAGAUGUUUCUAGAAGCUGAACAGCUGUGUGAAAGAGUUUGUGCGUGUUAAAU